rnacentral:rRNA from 1 species
AAGUCGCGUACUGACAGCUGGGUUCUUCUGUCUGGAGACUGACCUAGCGCUCUUCACUGGGUGUUAGGCGGGAUCUAGGACCUUUACUUUGAACAAAUUAGAGUGUUAAAGCAGCGUUUGCUUGAUACAUUAGCAUGUAUAUCGAUAGGACUUUGGUUCUAUUUUGUGGUUUAGAGCCGAAGUAAUGAUUAAUAGGGGACAGUUGGGGGCAUUAAUAUUAAUUGUCAGAGGUGAAAUCUAGAUUUAUGAAAGAUUAACUACUGCGAAAGCAUUUGCCAAGGAUGUUUUCAUUAAUCAAGAACGAAAGUUAGGGGAUCGAAGACGAUCAGAUACCGUCGUAGUCUUAACCAUAAACGAUGCCGACUAGGGAUUGGAGAAUGUUAUUUUCAUGACUCCUUCAGCACCUUAUGAGAAAUCAAAGUCUUUGGGUUCCGGGGGGAGUAUGGUCGCAAGGCUGAAACUUAAAGGAAUUGACGGAAGGGCACCACCAGGAGUGGAGCCGCGGCUUAAUUUGACUCAACACGGGGAAACUUACCAGGUCCAGACAUAGGAAGGAUUGACAGAUUGAGAGCUCUUUCUUGAUUCUAUGGGUGGUGGUGCAUGGCCGUUCUUAGUUGGUGGAGUGAUUUGUCUGCUUAAUUGCGAUAACGAACGAGACCUUAACCUACUAAAUAGUUACGCGAACCUCUGGUUCGUGGCCAACUUCUUAGAGGGACUUUUGCG